rnacentral:rRNA from 1 species
GACGAACGCUGGCGGCGUGCUUAACACAUGCAAGUCGAACGGAAAGACCCUGCUUUUGUGGCUUGCUCGAGUGGCGCACGGGUGUGUAACACGUGAGUAACCUGCCCUUGACUUUCGGAUAACUUCAGGAAACUGGGGCUAAUACCGGAUAGGAGCUCCUGCUGCAUGUGGGGGGUUGGAGAGUUUCGGCGGUUGGGGCUGGACUCGCGGCUUCUCAGCUUGUUGGUGGGGUAGUGGCUUACCAAGGCUUUGACGGGUAGCCGGCCUGGGAGGGGGACCGGGCACCAGGCGACUGCGGGACGGACCAGACGGCAACGGGCGGCAGUGGGGGGGAACAUUGCGGAAUGGGCGGGAGGCUGUGGUAGCAACGCCGCGUGCGGGAAGACGGCCUUCGGGUUGUAAACCGCUUUGGAAUGUGACGAAGAGGUAGUGACGGUAAUUGGUAAAGAAGCACCGGCUAACUACGUG